UCGGAGAUAGGUUAGCUGGUCUAUACUCCGACCUUGUGGCGGUCGGGACUCGGGUUCAAAUUCCGCCCUCAACC
rnacentral:tRNA from 1 species